rnacentral:lncRNA from 1 species
UAAAGGCCCAAGAGUACUGCAUCCCAAGUGCAUUUUUGAGCUUCUGAUGCCCUGUAUUCCAUUUCAAUCUUGAUGGUUAGAAGAGAGAAACCUGGGGCCUGAGGGCUUUCUGAAACGGAACAAGCUGAGAGUGUGCUCCUCCUCUGGAGUUCUGGAUGUGCCAGAAGCAUCAUCCUAUUGCUAAUAAGUUGAAAUAGACAGCAGGAAAUGCAGAUCCCUCCCUAGCAUUGCCAGAAUGCAUCUCUGUGUGUAUCCAGCAAUCUGGGUGAUAAGUUGACAGAAUGAGGCCAGCGAUGCAAAUAAAGGAUUUUUUUUCCCUUUCUCCUUGCA